CUUUCCUUUAAGAACCCAUGCCCAUUUCAUGAGAAGCAACAGAUUGAUUAGCUGACCACCUUUCUUAUUUCAGGUACUACUGAGGGCACCUCUGGCAAAGUUCUGGAACCUGGAAGUGCUCACACAGGUCAGGAAUUCUGAAUAUGGCCCCUUAGGCAAUGUCAGCUUUGGGAAACCCAGCAUGUCCUGUCCAAUCUUUAUACUUCCGAUUCCUUUCUCUCUCAGAGGCCACAACUUUCCCAGGAGGCAGCGGGACCACCCGAGCAGAACCACCAGGAGGUACCACUGGAGAAUUGUCUGGAACGACCAUUAUAUCUGGAAGUUCUAACACAGAGGCCACAACUUCCACAAAAGGGACUGGUACUUCUGGAACUGGCUUCAAAACUGGUACCUCUGGGGUGGCACCUGGCACAACAGUUGCCCCUGAAAGUUUCAGCACAUUAGCCACAAUUUCUCCUGGAGCAAGUAGAACCACUGGGGCUGGACCUGCUGAAGAAACCACAAUUUCCCUAGGAGGAGGUGGUACCACUGGAGCAGAAAUAAAAUCAGGAGCCACCUCUGGAGCACCAGGAAGCACAGCUGGAGUGCCCUCUGUGACAACAGUUGCCCCUGGAAGCUCUAACUCAGAGGCCAUGACUGCUUUAAGAGAAAGUGGAAAAACAAGAGCUGAAAUAACCACAGGUACUACUGAGGGCAAAACUCUGGCAGCUGGAAGUACCCACACAGAGGCCACAACUUUCUCAGGAGGCAGCGGGACCACCCGAGCAGGACCACCAGGAGAGCCCACAACUUCCAUUGAAGAGACUGGUCCUUCCAGAACUGUAUUCAAAACUGUAGGCAUCACUUCAGUCCCAGGGAGGCAAGCAGGCACCUCUGUGGUGGCGCCUGGCACAACAGUUGCCCCUGGAAGUUUCAGCACAGGUGAGUCCACUGUGUGGUGGGGAAUCCCUUCAUGGGUGCUUGCCAUAAUGUCUUUGAGUGUUUCAAUGCAGAAUCAUCACCAUUCCAUUCCAUGCCCCCUGAAUCUUUUCUAUUCAUGUCCUUCCUCUGCCAGCAGCCACAAUUUCUCCUGGAGCAAGUGGAAUGACUGGGGUUAG
rnacentral:lncRNA from 1 species